rnacentral:ncRNA from 1 species
GUUCGAGUAAUGCGGGUUGUAGUUGAUGAACAUGAACCCGCGGCAUUGGUCGAUGAUGUGAAAGAGCGGGUUCCACGAGAACAGGACGAUGAUGUUCCACGGCACCGUGUUGGCCACGAACAUCUUGCCGGAUGCGAUCAUGUUGGCGCGGGC